GCCGCGGUAAUACGUAGGGCGCAAGCGUUGUCCGGAAUUAUUGGGCGUAAAGAGCUCGUAGGCGGUCUGUCGCGUCUGCUGUGGAAACGCGGGGCUCAACCCCGCGCCUGCAGUGGGUACGGGCAGACUAGAGUGCGGUAGGGGGAGACUGGAAUUCCUGGUGUAGCGGUGGAAUGCGCAGAUAUCAGGAGGAACACCGGUGGCGAAGGCGGGUCUCUGGGCCGUUACUGACGCUGAGGAGCGAAAGCAUGGGGGAGCGAACAGGAUUAGAUACCCUGGUAGUCCAUGCCGUAAACGUUGGGCACUAGGUGUGGGACCCAUUCCACGGGUUCCGUGCCGCAGCUAACGCAUUAAGUGCCCGCCUGGGAGUACGGCCGCAAGGCUAAAAGCUAAACGA
rnacentral:ncRNA from 1 species